CGAACGUUGGCGGCCUCGCAAUCCGAGUGCGCUUCCUCUUCCGGCCAGCGGGACCCAGCCACCCGCUCUGCCCCACGGAAGCGGCCCGAGGGCGGGCGGCCGGAGCACCGCGGCCUCGCGGGCGCAGGGGAGGGAGAGCGGGCGGAUACUGCACCUUCCCCCCGGGCCCGCCCGGACCGUCCCGACGCGCUAUGGAGCGGGCCUACGCCGCUUCAUGCCGCGCCGCCUCUGCUCCCGUCCGGGCCACAGCAGCUUCCUCGGCGGCGGCACCGGCGGCACCCAGGCGGCGGACGAAGGGGCUUAAAGGCGGCGGCGACCGAGACGGCGGCAGAGGCCUCGGCACUUCCGGUUCCUGGAGCCCCGCCCUCCGACGGGGGAAGGCUAGAGGCCGGACCAAGAAGGAUGACGCUCGCCACUGCGCGUGAUGGGGCCCAACAGCGCCACCGAGCGCUCGGAGGAGGUGCGCCAAGUAGAAUGCCUGACUGGAGGGAAAACUCAGAAAAGGUGCAGGCAGAUCGCUCCACUUUUGCACCUGUGCCUUCCCCGUGCUCCCACUAUCCCAUUGCUGAUUCUGGCAAUUCCUCCUCACCUCUCACACUUGGGCUCUCAAGGGUGUCACAUCACAUAUCUGAUCAUGGUUCUGUUCUGACCUCCUACCUUGGUGAGUUCAGCACAUUUGCAUAUUAACUUCUGUAUGUUUUGUGUUAUGCACUCACUGAGCUAAAUGGUUCCUGGGAACACAGCUCAGCUGGGAAAGCAGCAUUUCUGUGACAACAGAUGGAGAGUUGGGGAGAUGACAGUUGAACAGGUAAAAUGCUUGCCACACAAGCACUAGGACCUGAACUUACUCCUCAGCACCUAAAAGAGCCUGUCAAGGUGGAUGCUGAGACAGGUAGAUUCUUGGUAUGAGCUGAUGAGCCAGUCUAGCCUACGUGGCAAGCUCUGGACCAAUAAGAGACACUGUCUCAAAAAAAUGUGCAUCAUGUAAUCCCACCCUGGAAGCAGGAAGAUCAGUUUACAGCAAUCCUCCUUUACAGAGUUUGGAAGAAAGUCUGGGUUAUAAGAGACCCUCCCUGGAAACAAAGACAACUUGGACUUUCCUGAGAAAUUACCACCUUGGGUUGCCCUCUAACCUACACAUGUGCGCUCGAACAUGAGACAUUCAAGACAUCCAUUGGUGUUUUUAGUUCAGGCUUUUUUCUUUUGCCUCCCCCCACCCCCCAUAGAUUAACUAUGUAGCUCUAGGUACAAAGAUCCGCCUGCUUCUGACUCAAAAGUGCUGUGAUUAGAGGUGUGAGACACCAAGCCUGGUCCCAGGUUUCCUGUUCACUGCCCAGCAAACAGAAUAGCCAUUUGUUAGUUAUUUAUAUUAACUAGUAAAUAAAAAAAAAAUCAAUCCUUAGCUUCGCUAGGCA
rnacentral:lncRNA from 1 species